GCUGCAUUCUAAGUCUGUGUGGUUCAAGUGGGCUGAUGAGGCAGAAGCAAUGUCUGAGGAGGAAAGAACCCAAGGAGUGCUAGGAAGGCCAGGACCUCGAGAGGACUUGCUGCACAUGUAUGAACAUCCCGAUGACCAGCCCCCAAACCCGGAGUCCUACUGUGCAGUAAACAGGAUUAGUGCACAGCAGGCCAGCGGGAAGAGAAUGCAGGAGUGGACAGUGUGGCUGUCUUUUAGCCUCUGUGAACACCACAGCUGCAGGGACAAGUGGGUGGACACUGGGAAAGUCAUACAGGAUUAGCCACACCACCGAAAGGGGACCCACGGCAGAAAACGUGUAUAAAGUUUAAUACCUGCUUGAGAGUCUGCAUUCAGAACCCUUAAUACUUUCAUGGAUUGCUGAGGAAAUGCCACAUCACUGGAGCUUGUGGAAGGGUAGAGAGGAUGAUGGAGUGGAAAAACCCAGCAUUGGAUGAGUCUGAGCCAAGUGGCGAUUCAGAGGAGUCAGACUGGGUGAAAGGGAGUUUGAGGAAGAACACCCAAUUUAUUUCACUUGUAUUUUCAUUUUCAUGUACGCACAAUAGUAAUAUGUGAUAAAAAUCUGUCUAGUUAAGUCUCAAAG
rnacentral:lncRNA from 1 species